rnacentral:rRNA from 1 species
GACGAACGCUGGCGGCGUGCUUAACACAUGCAAGUCGAACGGAAAGGCCCUGCUUUUGUGGGGUGCUCGAGUGGCGAACGGGUGAGUAACACGUGAGUAACCUGCCCUUGACUUUGGGAUAACUUCAGGAAACUGGGGCUAAUACCGGAUAGGAGCUCCUGCUGCAUGGUGGGGGUUGGAAAGUUUCGGCGGUUGGGGAUGGACUCGCGGCUUAUCAGCUUGUUGGUGGGGUAGUGGCUUACCAAGGCUUUGACGGGUAGCCGGCCUGAGAGGGUGACCGGCCACAUUGGGACUGAGAUACGGCCCAGACUCCUACGGGAGGCAGCAGUGGGGAAUAUUGCACAAUGGGCGGAAGCCUGAUGCAGCAACGCCGCGUGCGGGAUGACGGCCUUCGGGUUGUAAACCGCUUUCGCCUGUGACGAAGCGUGAGUGACGGUAAUGGGUAAAGAAGCACCGGCUAACUACGUGCCAGCAGCCGCGGUGAUACGUAGGGUGCGAGCGUUGUCCGGAUUUAUUGGGCGUAAAGGGCUCGUAGGUGGUUGAUCGCGUCGGAAGUGUAAUCUUGGGGCUUAACCCUGAGCGUGCUUUCGAUACGGGUUGACUUGAGGAAGGUAGGGGAGAAUGGAAUUCCUGGUGGAGCGGUGGAAUGCGCAGAUAUCAGGAGGAACACCAGUGGCGAAAGCGGUUCUCUGGGCCUUUCCUGACGCUGAGGAGCGAAAAGCGUGGGGAGCGAACAGGCUUAGAUACCCUGGUAGUCCACGCUGUAAACGGUGGGUACUAGGUGUGGGGUCCAUUCCACGGGUUCCGUGCCGUAGCUAACGCUUUAAGUACCCCGCCUGGGGAGUACGGCCGCAAGGCUAAAACUCAAAGGAAUUGACGGGGCCCCGCACAAGCGGCGGAGCAUGCGGAUUAAUUCGAUGCAACGCGUAGAACCUUACCUGGGUUUGACAUGGAUCGGGAGUGCUCAGAGAUGGGUGUGCCUCUUUUGGGGUCGGUUCACAGGUGGUGCAUGGCUGUCGUCAGCUCGUGUCGUGAGAUGUUGGGUUAAGUCCCGCAACGAGCGCAACCCUUGUUCACUGUUGCCAGCACGUUAUGGUGGGGACUCAGUGGAGACCGCCGGGGUCAACUCGGAGGAAGGUGGGGAUGACGUCAAGUCAUCAUGCCCCUUAUGUCCAGGGCUUCACGCAUGCUACAAUGGCUGGUACAGAGAGUGGCGAGCCUGUGAGGGUGAGCGAAUCUCGGAAAGCCGGUCUCAGUUCGGAUUGGGGUCUGCAACUCGACCUCGUGAAGUCGGAGUCGCUAGUAAUCGCAGAUCAGCAACGCUGCGGUGAAUAAGUUCCCGGG